UACCCUGAUAUUUUUUCUAACUAGCUGAAUUUAGGAAAUUCUCUAGGAAUGAGCUAAGUUCACAAGACAUCAAGUCCCCAUGUACGUGCAGUGUCACCUGAUAACGAAUGAUGGAGAAUAAAACUCUUAGCAUGGUGCCUUGUCGUCGAUGGUCACAGCAGGCCUACUUCUACAUAGAAUGUGCCAACAGGAGUAUCAGGGGGUUCCUGCUGCCAGAAUGUAAAUGGCUUCUACUGACAAAACUCGACCAGAGAUGAAAGAUGUCAUGUAACUCUCAACUUCCAGCUCACUUCAGAGCCACCAUCUGACACAGCAUCCUGCCCUCUUCUCUGCCUCCCCCCACCACCCCAGGAAUAUUGGUCAUGUUGGCUUCCCAACCAAAGGAGUUAGAGAUACAGCUAAAAUUUAUUCCUGUCCUGUCAUUAAUUCUGCACAGUCUUAUAAACUGUUUGAGUCUCAUGUUCCUCAUCUGAAUAAUUGUGUUUAAAUGGGGAUAUUUAACUCUGGUAGCUAAUACCUUAACUACAUAAGGUAAGGUUAACAUACCCAGAAAGAACUUGAUCAAAUGACGCUGGCUGUUUGGUUUCCUCAGAUGCAAAACAAACAUCAGCACUGCUAUUAUUUAAGAUCUUUCAUAGGGUUGAUUAUAUGCUGUAAAAUGUUAAAAAAAAAAAAUCACUAAUACUCUAAGAUAAAGCACUUCAGUUUUCCAUAAUUUUUCUUCCACAGUGGGUUAAAAUAUAUUCUUUGUAGAGAUAGAUUUCCAGGUGUUGAAUUUUUCACAGCAGGAAUUCUCAUAGACAGUAAUUAUCUUCAUUAGCUGGAAAUGAAUACACAGUUUUGAUAUAGCGGAAAAAAACACUAGGUGUGGAAUAGUAGUAGGAAACACCUCUGGUUCUGCUACUUACAUCUAUGAGACCCUGGACUUGCUUUCAACCUCAGUGAGCUUCAAUUAUUCCAUAAAAAAUAAACAUAAUUCUAUUAAAGACUUUGUAAACCA
rnacentral:lncRNA from 12 species